rnacentral:rRNA from 1 species
UAAUACGUAGGUGGCAAGCGUUGUCCGGAAUUAUUGGGCGUAAAGCGCGCGCAGGCGGUUUCUUAAGUCUGAUGUGAAAGCCCCCGGCUCAACCGGGGAGGGUCAUUGGAAACUGGGGAACUUGAGUGCAGAAGAGGAGAGUGGAAUUCCACGUGUAGCGGUGAAAUGCGUAGAGAUGUGGAGGAACACCAGUGGCGAAGGCGACUCUCUGGUCUGUAACUGACGCUGAGGCGCGAAAGCGUGGGGAGCGAACAGGAUUAGAUACCCUGGUAGUCCACGCCGUAAACGAUGAGUGCUAAGUGUUAGAGGGUUUCCGCCCUUUAGUGCUGCAGCAAACGCAUUAAGCACUCCGCCUGGGGAGUACGGUCGCAAGACUGAA